rnacentral:lncRNA from 1 species
UUUAGCAUGUCUUUUUCUGGAUGAGUUCGAACAUCCUCCUAAUCCAGAACCUCCAUGGAUAGUCUGGAUAUCCCUUGCGAUCGGCCUAUUAUCAGUGUAUCCUCUGUCAAGCGAGUCAGGCUACGAGCGAUCAAUACAAACUUUGUCAAGUAUCCCCUCUUGAUCAAACAGCUAUCUGUUCCUUCAAUUGAAAGCACUUCUCCGUAUUGUGCUCAUGAUCCUUGUAAAACUCACAAUACUUGUUCUUAUUUUUCCAAAGGGAAUUUGUCUUAAUUUUUCCAUGCCACUUCACAAAGUUCUCAUUCUUGAUCUUCAUGAGAUAUCUCGCUCCAAGGGGUCAUUUCGAGUAGAAGCGACCAAUCAUAUCGGUUCACGACAAUAUGCAGGGACGUGUUCAUAGAAAUUCAUCUCCUAGCCUCUUGCUUGGACCUCUUAAUUUUCAACUCGCCCCUAUAGUCCGUUCAUCGAGUAUUGGGUUCCUUCCUCUUGUGAUCAUCUUUUCCUCGUCCCUUACGUUUGGCCUUUACUAAUUCUUCAGCUGCAAUGUAUUUAUCGGCCUUACUCUAGAGCGUCGGCAAGUUUUCAGGGACGCUUUUGGAGAGGGAAUCGAACAGUAGGACCAGACAAAGACCCUACAUCAUCGCCAUGAUUAUCACCUUAUCACUGAGAUCUUCCACUUCCAAAAUGGCCCGAUUAAAAUGCCAGACAUAGUCUUUCAAACUCUCCCCAUCUUUCUAGUGAAUUGUGAAAAUAUGAGAGGUAUUUUUUUGCCUGCCCCUACAACUCAUGAAAUUGAUAGCAAAAAGUCUACUUAGGUGGCUAAACGAAUCGAUGGUUCUGGGAGACAACUUUAUGAACCAUGACCUCGCCAACCACUUUAAAGUUGCUGAAAAAGCCUUACAUAUCACCUUGUCUGAAUACCCUUAGAGCACAUCAAGUUCUUGUAUGAGCCUAGGUGAACCAUGGAAUCUAUCUUCCACUCACAAACUCUUAGCUGAGAUGGUAAUUUGAAUUUGAAUGAAAUCCUGACUCUCAUUACUCUCUCUAUGAAUGGAGACUCGAUUUGCCUUAUCAAGGUAUCCACGGUAACUAGGGUAUUUACACCGGUAUUGAUGGCGUCAAUACAAGCAUCCAAGUCCUUAAAUUUCUGGGUAGUGGACUUAUCACGAUGUCUGUGUACUCGGUCAUCUCGGUGAGAUGAUCUUCCAUGCCUCCUAGUUUCCUCACUUGUCAUGCCCUGAGUUAUGCUAGACAACCAUGAUUCAGAUAUACUAGGACUCCUUCCUCGUUUGGAGUGUAAACUCGCCGACGGGUACUGACAGGUCCUUGCUAAAUGUCCUUGACCAACACUAUGACAAUUCUGCGAAUCCUAGUUGCCCGAUCUGUAAGAGUAACGAGAUCGAUCAGCAUCUUCUGGAGCAGUUGCAGUUGUAGGAGGUGUAGUAUUUGUGACGAGGUGUUGUACCAGGAGAGCAUUUAUCUUGUUCAUGAUUCUGAUUUACUCAGCGAUUCCAUGUAUUUCACGAUGAAUGCCAUCGAGAUAUGGAGCUUGACCAACAUUUGUCGUUGGAUAUGCUCUAUUAUCUAAAGGGUUGCUAGUACUUUGUCUAGGUAAUAAGUAAGCGACUACGCAGGUGUAUAGAGUAUUGAGAACUAUCGUUCCCACGGACGGUGCCAAACUAUUGUGGUAAAAAUCUAAGAUGAGUAACCAACAAUCAAAAUUGCUCGAGAAGCUUGGUUUUAACUUCAGCGACAUGCAUAGAGAAAUAAACAUUACUAGGCGGGGUGAGGCUGCUCAAAACCCCUCUAGUAUAGAGAUGAGACCGAAAUGAAUUGGCUAGACAAAGAUUAAUAGAUAGACUGUAUGGUUAUAGCACAAAGAGUGAGAAUAUAACUACUCCUUUCUAGUGGGUGGUGAGUAACCUUUUAUAGAUGAAGAAUUUAUAGUCAUGCGAGAAGAUCACGGCAUAAUCAUUGGAUAAUCAAGUAAGAAAACCGUGACCGAUAAUCGUGAUGUAACAGGUGGUGAAUGUCAAAUGGAGAUGGUGCUGCAAUAGUUGGAGACUUAGAGGAGAUGGAGUCUUAAGUUUAUCCCAACCUUAAUGCGAUGACGAUAUUACCAACUAUGGGAUUAGCGAAGUGAGACCUCGGGGAGGACAUGGAUGAUGUUUUAGGAAGUCCGAGCUUACUAAGUGGCGACCAAAUGAGGUAUGGCGACAUGAUCUUCUGCAGACGUCUGGACAAUGCGUUUACUUCGGGUUUCCCAUUGUUGAGGAUUUUAUCCCUCAUCAAUUCUCAUUACAAACGGCGGUGCUUUUUACCAUCAUGGUUCUCCUCGAGGAAGAACGGUGGGUAAGCCCAUUCUUUGGGUAAACGAACCAGAAUAACAUUGGGAGGAAAUUUAGCAAAUAUUGCUCACAAUACUUGUGUUUCUGAAAUUUGGUCACUGGAGAAAUGUCAGUUUUUCUCAAUUAUUUUGUAACUUUAUUUCCUCACAACGAACACUCUGAUGAAAUCUAAAAGAAAUUGACAGUUGUCUACCUUGAGUAACUGUCGGUGCCAGAGAAGGCGAUUGCGAACCGUUACACCGAUUUGGAUUUCAUUUGUUUUAAAUGUUAAGCAGACCUGUUACAGUGGACUAUCAUGUUGGGUUGGGCUGUUAGUUUGGGCCCAAGUAUUUCAUGCCCAUAUACUUUCUUGAAUCCAUUCUGAAUUUAGAAAACUAGCCCAAUAUUUAACACAAAGUUAAUCGUUUGUAUGUGUUUACUUGUAUUGAAUUCAUCUUGGUUUUACUGCAAAAAGAUUUGGACAGUGGGUCAUAUUCUCUUAUAUUUUAUGGAUGCACAUAAUAUUGGCUAUGCUUUGUGGACGAUACAUAGCAUAGCAUUAUUUUGGCUUGUUUCUCUGGUUUUGGAUGGUAGUUUUUUGAAGCAUGUUAAUUUUGCAUGAUGAAUCUUCAAAAUCAUGUUGAAUUUGAGAUAUGAGACAAUAUUAGAGUUUCUCAUAUAUUUUAGUGUGAAUUACUUUGAAAAGUAACCCCUUUUCAUGUGAAUAAAAAGGAAAAAAAGGUUUUUAUCUCCUAAAAUGUGAGAUGGCGUAAUCUACACCACUAUAUCAGAUAAUUAUUAUCCUAUGGCUAAUUUUAAUUGGUAGUUGGAUAAGAAGUUAUUGGUGGUUAUUGGUUCAAACCAAAUGGUGUGAACAAAAGGGAUUUGAACGACGAGCUAUAACAAUUAAAUUUAAAAUUAAUGGGUGUUAUGAAUAAGUUUAAAUCAAGAACCCUCAAUAAUGGGUUUAAUCAAAAAGGUGCGACUCCCCUUGGGUAGACUUUGGGUGUUGAUGUGAACGAAGAAGUGUGAACCUUAGUUCAAUUGUGAAUUAUAUGGGCAAUAGGCUGAAAUUUUAGUUUCCUUCUAAAGGGAAAGGCAGCAAUCUAAAACUUGUGUAACUGCUGGCAACAGAGAAGACAAAUACAAAGAUUCACACCGGUUCACCAAAAGUGCCCAGGGGAAACAGUUGAGAAUUGAGAUCCAUGAUUUUGAAUUAUUCCAAAAUACAUUAAGAAUGGACUCUUGUUUCUUAUUAAGUAGUUUAGCUUAUUGAAUUUACCUAAGGUAAAAUGUCUCCGAGUUGAGUAUAUUAUACUAAAGGCCCAAGAAUUUUAUGCAACACAUGUUAGAUUUGCGCACAUUAGUUUCUUAGAUGGUGAUUAUAAUCUAAUUUGAUUAUAAUAAUUUUGGAUUUUAAAUAUGUUUUGUGGAACAAUAUUAGUUUCUAAUAUUCUAAAUACGUAGUUGUAAUUGGACAAUUAUAGUCCCACAAGUUAAUUUCAAAUGUUGUUUUGGAAUUUGAUUUAUAUGUUACAGUGAGUAUUUAAUUAUUUGAAUAGAUACACAAACAUUUGUUUCACACUAAGCGUAAAAACCAUGGCUAACUAGUGAUGGAGGAAAUAACUUAAAAUAAUGACUAAAGAGUAAAAAUAUUGCACUCUUGGUGGGAAUUAAUUUUUUGAAAUUAAAAAGAUAAUUUUAUAUUGUUUUAACUUGUUUUAUCAAAGAGAUAGUUAUGAUUGUGAUAUUUGUCCGGACAUAUAAAUCAAAUCAUAAAUUAUGAUAAAAUUUAGCUAUAGAAUAAUACCACUCAUAUGGUAGUGAAUACUUGAAAUAUCAACAGGCCACCCCUUUUACCAAAUUAUUAGAAACUGAUGGGGAUGUUGGGAAGUUGGCGGUGGUGAAAAAUAUUUUUUAAAAGAAAUAGAUCAAAAAUCAAUAAUUUUUUAGGAUAUUUCAAACUGGCUAAAACAAGUGCAUAUUGUUUGUAUAUAUUGUGAUAGUCAUCAGCAAUUACAAAGGCACAAAGUAAGAUGUAUGAUGACAAGUCUAGACAUAUUCGUUAUAAACACAAUAUAAUUAAAUAACUUCUCUCUAAUGGAGUUAUCUCUAUAGAUUAUGUAAAAUCUAAAUAUAACAUCGCGAAUCUGCUUACAAAAAAAUUAUCUAGAGAGUAAGUUUAUAAAUUUUUGUGGGGAAUGUGACUAAAGUCUAUGGUCAAAGAGUGUCAUACUAGAAAUACAACCUAGUUGACUAGACAUCCCCAGAAUCAUUAUGUUGGACUCAAUGGUAGAAACAUGUGUCGGAAAAAAGGUAAAACUUUAAACCUACUUAUUUCUAUGAAGUAAUAUAGUGUUGUCUGUAUGAGCAAUUAUGAUAAGUAUAGCUUAUAAUGACACUUGUAUCUUAAAAUACUCAAGUAGGGAAUUGCAGAGUACUCUAAAACAAAAUAUCAUCUAUGUGAGUGUGGAUUGGGACCGUUCCUAUGAGAAUUUUGAGUUAAAUUCUCUCGAGCACUCGUGAUAUCAAGGAAUUGCCUAGGACCAAAAUGGACACACCUAUGAGAACUGAACAUUAGUUGAAAACACUCUGCGUGAUUAUUGUUGUCUUGGUUUAUACACAAAACUGGACAAUUCAAACAGUUCAAGGGCUCUAUGUCUCACUGAUUAGCGAAUAAAUCCGAUAGUAUUUCUCAAGGGAAGGUUCAAGACCGAAAUCUACAUGUUCUAAGAAUUUUCUAUUGGAACUCUCUAUUGUUGUUGUUGUUGUUGUUAUUUUAUAGUCUAUCAAUCAAUUUUAUUCACGUGUAGGAUUGUUGAAAAAAAAUUAUUAUUUUAAAUCUAUUUUAAUUUUAAUGUGAAUAACUUCAAUAGUCCCUUCCCAUGGUGAAAGAUUGUCUCUUCAUUAGUACCUCUUCGACGUGAAGAGUUGUGAUUUUUUGUUAGCAUCACUUCAUCUUUUAUAUAUACUUCAUUUCUCAUUUGAGUUUAGAAAUUCGAUUGAUUCAAUUCAAAGCGUGAAAAUCGUAUCUAUAUCAAUUAGUAAUAAGAGAGUUCCUCUAUUGUUUGGUUCGUUGUGCAAACAAAUUGUAGUCCUCUAGAAGGUGCCCAACAAUAUUCUAGAUUAUUUUAUAGAAUUAUUUAUACCAAAUAUUUAGAUAUUUACAUGAGCUAGAAUUAUUUUUUGAUUUCCAUGAGAAAGGAAAAUACUUAAAUUUCUGCAUUUAUUGACUGUGUAAUUAGUAGAAAACUUGUUGGAUCCAUAUUCAUACAUUUUUCUAGUACGAUUUGUUUUGCAUCAAAGCUUAUCUUGCCAAAAAAAAUAACAACAUAAAAUUAUGCAAAAAACUUAAUUUGUUCUCUUCUAUAUAUUAAUGCAUUCUCUUUGUUUCUAGAAAAUUUCAACUAAAUUUUGUAUUCUAAAGGAUUUUUGGAAGCUAAUGCAAUAAUAUAUACUCUAUUGCACAAUUUCAACGUUGUUUGUCUAAUUAAUUAAUUACCCCUCUCAUUGUCAUGGACUAGCCAUGAAAGAAACAUGCUCCAUUUGUCAGACCACAACGAUUGCAAUUGGCCACAUCCACAUAUGGUUAAAGAGACACCAUUUCAUAGGUAAGCAAAAGUGUUUGUUUUUGGAUAGGCAUAUGUGGGGUUUAGAUAAUGCUAGUUAGUGAUAGCUAUAUCUAUCUUCCUUAUCAAGAAACGGUAUUAAUUAUUUCAUUGACUUUUUUACACUAGGUUAAAUUAUGAAAAUGUACAAUGACUUCACCUAUGUCUAUCAAUUAAUCUAGAUUAUUAAACAUUUAUGGAGUAUGUGUUUUUGGUAAUUCAGUAUCUAACUCAAGAAUCGAUUGACUAAUUCAAGGAUCAAUCCUAUCGUCUACUAGUAAGGGAUCAAAUUAAAGUCAAAAAAAUGCCCCAUAUGAACUUAGUCGAUUGACCCAACUCAUAGGACCUAGGAGGUUUCAUUUAUGCUAUGUUUGGAUGUUUGAGUUUGCAGAAUAUGUUAGAGAACUUAAAAAUAAGAAACAAAAUGAAGUGAAAAAAUCUGUUAAUUAAAAAAAUAUAUUUUUAAUAAUUUUUUUUUAGAUUAGAUGAUAAUUUUUAGAUUUCCAGACUCUCCUUGUCAACAAAAAAUGAAAAGGUAUUAAAUUUUAAUUAAAAAGUUAAAAAAAAAUACUAAAAGUAAAAAAAAAGUAAAACUAAAAUAACUAAAAGUUUUAUAAAAACACAAAAAACUAGGACAAAUUCGGCAUUGAAAUUUGGAAAUUAACUGCUUGAUGGCCUUCAAAAGAGAAUUUUGAGGAUCAUUCAUAGUGUGUGUAGAGACCUAUAGCCAUGUGCCAACUUGGUAUUUUUUACUAAUCUAUCACUAACCAAUAUGUGGAAGCCACCUUUACUAGACUACAAGCCACUUUCAACUCGAUUAGCGGUGCUAUUAUUGCAAAAACCAAAAUCGUUGGCUCUUUUGGAAACAACUGAAUGGACUUGCAAGAGGUGGUACGUCAGUGGUGAAUCGGUGAUGGGCGAGAACUUCCAAUAUUUAAGUCAGAAAACUAGUUGACAGAGGAGAAUAUAGAAACAAGAAUAAAAAUUUAUUUUGGUUGUGUUUAAAUUAAAAUUUUAAUAAAAUAAAAUAAAAUAAAAGAUUUAGUGGUUUAAAUUUAUUUAUUUUUCUCCACAAAUCCCUCGUACAUACACUCUCAAGAGGAGAAUGAUUUACCGGUGAGGAUUUUAUAAUCUUUGGGGGUGUGAUUUGCAAAUCAAUUUGUGACUGGGGGAGUGAUUUUGGGCUUGAUGUACGGGGUUGUGCUAAAAUUGUUGUUCGUUGAUCAUAAAAAGCAGAGGCGAAGGCAAUUUGUGCCCAGAGGGACAGUUGCCCCCCUCAAGUUUAAAUUUUUUUUUUUACUAUAAUUUUAGAAGAUUUUUACAAUUUGCCUCCCCCUCAAAAAUUAUAAAUUCCCCCUUAAAAAAAAUUCAAUUUGUCCUCCGAAUUUAUUUUCUAGCUCCGCUACUAAUGAAAAGUGCUUUGCCAUUUUAUGACACUAGCAAAAACUCGUACUAUGUACGAAUAAAUAAUAUAAAAUUAUAUUAAUUAAUUGAAUAUUUAAAUGAUAGUGAUGAGAAAUAGAAAUACAAACUUCUUCUUGUGUAUUAAUUUUCUAAUUAAUAAACUCAUUCCUAAUUGAAAAGGUUAUUUUAUUUUUUUUAAAAAAUAAUUACAGUAAGAUAUUACUAUGAUAAUUUAUAUUUGAAACAGAAUUUUGUGUCACAUUGGUCUUAAAAUGAAAGUAUUGACUAAAUCAUGUUAAGAUACUAUUAUUUUUUUUUCAUAUAAGAUAAAUUUUAAUUUUUUAUAUUGUUUAAUAAUAAAAAAAUCAUAUGCAAUAAUAAUAAUAAUAAUAAUAAUUUGAGUUAUUAAUUGACGUGACAUUGCUAAGAUGCUAAUCUCAGAUUGUGCAGAUUUUCUAGUGGGAGGUUGUUGAAGCGUCACAAAGAGAAUACUCCUCUUCAUCACUCCUUCAAGAAUAAGGCUUUUUUAGAAAGGUAAUGGUCCGACUUGAACUUUUUUUAUUUUAUAUUUUUAUAUUUUUUUCUAAAAAAUGCAUUACGAGUGCAUAUAGUCUCAUGUCUUACAUAUUAAUUCCCUGAUCCACACAUAUUAAGUUAUUAUUAGCCUAAAUUACAUAAGGAGUGACGGUGUGUAUAUAUUAAAUUAAAUUAUUGACAAAUACUAUUAGAGUUGUCACAUAUUACCUAUCUAAUCCGUACAAAUUAAUACAUAAUAAAGGCUCUACUUUUGAACUCAUUUAUUUAUUUUUAGUGAGAUAUUGAAACUUAUUUGAUCAAAUAUGAUAGUGUUUAUUACUGAUUACUAAAAACUUCUGUUAAAAUAUUUUUUUUUUUUUUCUGGCCAACUUUCAGAAUUGAACACAACACCGAAUUCGGCUAAGUUCUUCCAUCAAGGCUCAAAAAAACUUUUUUUUUUUUAAAUAUUUUAACUUCGGAUUUUAAAUAACUAAUUUUAACAUAAAUUCAGCUACAAAAAAUAUGACUUUUGUGUAGGAUGCUUAAUUCAUCUAGGAGUGUAAGAAAAAUCUAGAAAACCGAACCAAGUAAAAAAUUCAAUUUGGUUCGAUUUUAGCUUCUGCUCAAAGGUUUUGGUUUUUAAAAUAUAAAAAUUAAAAAUUUUCAGUUCAAUUUGAUUUUAUGAUGUGCUAAACCGAUAACACACCUUCUAAUCUAAGCUUAUUUUGGUUGGCUAUUGCUAUUAGCUACUAUUAUCUAUAAAAAAAAAAUUCUUUCACGAUUAUUAGAUUUCUUAAAGUCUUGUUGUUACUUAUUAAAGUCCUAUUGAGAUUUAUAAAUUAUUAAGUUUGAUUUUGAAUUUAUUAAUUAUUAUAUUUUGUGUUUUGAAAUAUGAUGAUUAAGUGAUUUUUUUUAUGAAAACCCAAAAAAUUGCCCCCCAAAAACCCAAAAAAAUUGAAAAAUCGAAUCAAAAUUUCUCUAAUCGAAUGGUUCAUUUCUUUUUACUAUAAGUAUAUGUAUUGAUUUCACAAUUUUAUAAAUAAAAAUUUUUGGUUAACACUUUUAAUUUCUCUCAAAAUCGAACUGUCCGAACUGAUUCCAAUCGUUAGAUCCAUUACAGGGCGUUGCGGAGGCAUUUUGAUUGGUGACAUUUGGAAUGAGGAAGGAUUUGAUGGUUGAAUUUUAAAAUAAGGGGGUGAUUUAUAAUAAGGAGGGCCCCGACCUUUAAGAAGGGUGAAUUUGUAUAGUUAAUAUUUGGAUGGUGUUGGGAGAAGGGGAAUUUGAAAGUUGAUAUGAAGAAUAAGUUGUCAAAAGACAAAAUUAUCCCCAUCUCAUUAAUAUUAGUUGAUUAAUAUGAAGUAAUUUUAUUUAAUUAGAAAAUUAGAUAAAUAAUAUUAGAUAAUUAAAAUAAAACUUUUUACUUUAAAUAUUAAUAUAUAAUCUAAAAAUAUAUAAUUCGAUUUUUUUUUAUUUUGGUUAAAUAUCCAGAAUAAUUAAUCUCUUUAGAGAGAGAGAGGGUCUACACCUAGGUCAUAUAAGACAGAGGAACGCAAGGGGAGCAAGUGCAUGAGAGGUUCGUCUUCUGUUAGGAUACCUGAGAGCGAGAGUAUUUAUAUGUAUACAAAUAUGUUAAUAUCAUUUAUCUGUUGCAGGACCCAGAUCACAAACUAAAAGGACUUUGAGGGGCCAAUCAUGGUGUAAUUAUGCGUUAAAACCCAUUUAAAAAGAAGCAGGGCUAUUGGCUCUCUUCUCUCUUACCACUCCAUUUCUCUCUCUCUUCUCUCUCCCUCUAAACACUACCACCUUCCAUCGCCUCUGGUGUCACCGGCUACACGAAACACCGUCGACCCACCACCGCACCAUUUUCCCUCCCGAUUUCACCCCUCUCAGUCAGAUAUCUCUCUCUCUUUAUGAUUUCUUCUGCCCUCACACUUCCAGCCAACCACCCUCGCCCCCACUGCCAACCUCCUCCGUCGAAGUUCGAGGAAUUUCGCACCCGAUUGUAAAUUAGUGAUUAGAGCGCAAAAUUCCGUGGGCCAAACACCCCGUCGUAAUCUCGUUCAUGAAUUACAAUCCGAGUUCGAUUUUUGGUUUUGUAUUGUUUUACAGAUUUAAUUCGGUUCUACUUGGCUAAUUAGGCCCAUA